rnacentral:rRNA from 1 species
AACAAACGCUGGCGGCGUGCCUAAUACAUGCAAGUCGAACGAGGAAAGCUUUCGGGUGAGUACUAGUGGCGCACGGGUGAGGAAUAUAUGGGUAAUCUGCCCUCGAGUUUGGGAUAACCAGUCGAAAGAUUGGCUAAUACCGGAUAAGACCACAGGAUCUGCGGAUCUAGGGGUUAAAGGUUUUUCGCUUGAGGAUGAGCCCAUAUGGGAUUAGCUAGUUGGUAGGGUAACGGCCUACCAAGGCUACGAUCCCUAACUGGUCUUAGAGGAUGAUCAGUCACACUGGAACUGAGACACGGUCCAGACUCCUACGGGAGGCAGCAGUAGGGAAUAUUGCACAAUGGGGGAAACCCUGAUGCAGCGACGCCGCGUGAGUGAUGAAGGCCUUCGGGUCGUAAAGCUCUGUCGUAUGGGACUAACAAAAUGAAGGUACCAUGCAAGAAAGGAUCGGCUAACUUCGUGCCAGCCGCCGCCGUAAUAC